GGCCAACCCUUCUCCCCCAAUAACACAAGCUCUUUUCUUGAACACGCUUCUUCCUCCAUUGAAAAUCCAACUUCUCCUUCACGCCAUUUAGCCUUUCCAAUCAGAUGAAACUUAUAACCCUUAAGUUUUGAAAUUCAAAUCACACUUCUUUCACUACUGUUGCAGAAUUAGGGUUCUUCGAAUUGUGAUUUCUUGCUGCCGGUUCUCUCUCUAAAAAUCCAACCCAGCCGCCUCCUUCAGCUAGACCAUAGAUUCUCAUCUUCGUCUUUAAGUUCACCCAUUAGGGUUGGCUUGAAGAUGGUGUUGAGCAGGGCUCUGGGUGGUGAGAAAGGGAAGUCUACAACAAAUUCAAGAACAACUUGCUGCAAGUAUAUUACAAUAAGAUGUUGCCAAACUAACAAAAAGGUUUAGACAUGAAGAUAAUGCUCAUAGAGCUUUCGAAGGGCACUUACUAGAGCUUUAGGAGCUCUUUACUGAUUACCGUCUUAUCUCUCUCCUACAGCAUUAGAAUUUCUAGCAGAAGUUGUCUUGGAAGAAGAAGCUGUUAGACUUGAAGAACAAGUUGUUCAAUUAGGCUUCAAGUACAAGUGGUUCAUUUUAGAUAAGGCCUUUAGCAAGAAGCAAUUUGCGUUUGAUCUUAAAAAAGAAUCCUUGAAAACUCAAUGUUCCUGUUGUUUGGGUUAAAACAGGAACCGAAACCGUAAUGGUUAUUCGGUCAGGUUUACAUGAAAUUGAAUUGAAUGUUUUCUAAAUGAUUUCAGGGGCAGAUUUAGAUGUUAAUGGUCAUAGCACUUCAAACAACAAAAAUUUACAGCUGUAAGUAUUACCCCUUUCAAAUACCAAAUGGUUUAGUUAUAAUCCAACUUCAAGUUAUAAUCCAACGUCAGUUUUCAUAUUCUUAAUAAGUCUUUCGUCAGAAUAAUAUCUUUAACAUAUCUCAUUCUUUUGUGAGCAUCAUGUUGGCUGUUGCCUGGAGAGAGUUAAUUUCUACAGCUGCAGGAAAAAAUAGAGUCAGUUACCGACGUUCUCAAGGGAAUAUUAAGUCCUGUUGUCAAUGAAGAAGAAGAGAUUUGUUGGCCUCCUCGGGAUCCAAACGCCCUCAGCCUCAUGGAAAAAGAAGUAAGCCAAAGGGAGCAAGAAGGCCAAUUGGACGAGGGAUUCCUAGCAGAAGUCAGUGCACAACUACGGCAGGCUAAGGAAGAUAAAGACAAACCAGGUCUUGAGGCAAUGCUGCAAAAAGUUUUGCAACUGUAUGCAUCAAGAGUCCUCUCAAAACCUAGUUAUGCCAUGAAAGGGGAUGAAGUUUUAAAAGCCGAACAAUGUCUUGAAGAAAUUAUCAAAAGUGCAGGAAAAAAUAGAGUCAGCUACCGACGUUCUCAAGAGAAUAUUAAGUCCUAUUGUCAAUGAAGAAGAAGAGAUUUAUUGGCCUCCUUGGGAUCCAAACGCCCUCAGCCUCAUGGAAAAAGUAUGGUUUGCUUAAAUAGUUAGUGUGUCAAAUUCGAUUAAAAUUGUAAUAGUUCAAUGAUAAUUUCAUUGAUUAAGUAAAUUUACCUAGGUGACUUAUGCAUUAAAAUACACUUUGGGCCACUUUCAAGUCAAUGAUAUUUUUGCACGAAAAAGUAUGGUUCCGCAUUAAUGAAUUAUGGUUAAAGCAUUAUGUACUUUUGAAGUUUUGUUGGUUUAUUAUAGUGUUUUGGUUUCA